GGCACCGCCGAUGGCACCGACCCGGAGUACGAGAACGUGUUCAUGAGCUCCUGCAGAGCCACAGGCAUCGGGCAGGGAUGGACACCGGGAUGGCAGCGGCACAGCCCGCAGGUCCCGGUGCUUGACGAGUGUUCCCUACGGAGCGAGGACGUCGGGGACCAGCCCAUCUAUGCCAACACACAGAGCCCCGGCCAGGACAGCAUCUACAUCACCCCGGACCAGUGAUGCUCCUCUGGUGACCCCAGCACAGAGGGGACGGGGAUGGGCGCUCCCCAUAGAUGUGGGCUCUGUGGAUCCUGCUAUGGCUGGGACAGGGACACACACGUUCUCCGCUCACAUCCUGCCCCAGAGCCAGGGACAUGUGGGGGGCCCCCGGGGUGGCCGCUGCAAUGUACUGUUCCUGUUCCCCUUUCAGCUGCAGAGGGGGUGCACGUGUGCUUGGUCACAUCUGGACACUGGGACCAACCCUUCACCACCCCUUUUCCUGUUAAAUCUGCUCAUUUGGGGAGCAGCAAAAGCCUCUUUUUGAAUAGGAUUCCCUAUUCCGCACCCCAAGGGGUAUCCUGGGACACGGCCUUGUCUGGGUGUCCUCCCCCUCCAUGGCAUCCCUGAGCUCCAUCCCUGGUGAUGCUCCACUGGGCCCCAUUAAAUGGUUUAAUCAGCUUAAA